rfam:Picea glauca, whole genome shotgun sequence.
GAUGGUCCCUGCAGAUGCUCACACAAUGUGAUUUAUGUCUAGUUCUCUGCAUGUCAAAGUGAAGAAAUUCAACCAAGUGUGGGUAAACAGUGAGAGUAACUAUGACUCUCUUAAUGUAGCUAGAUAUAUUUUCAUCUAAUUAGUGAUGCACGUGAAUGGAUUAAUGAUAUUCCCACAGUCCCUAGCUACUAUCUAGAUAAACCACAGCCAAGGAAAUGGGCUUGGAAGAAUUAGCAGGGAAACAAGACCCUGUUGAGAUUAACUCUAGCCCGACUUUGUGAAAUGACUUGAGAGGUGUAGAAUAAGUGGGAGUUGUUUUCAGCGCAAUUUAAAUACAACCACUACUUUUAUCAUUAUUUUACUUAUUCUUUUGGGCGGAGGCGGGGCAUUCUGCAUAUGUUAAAAUAUAACACACAUUUCCUCAAAGUGUUGUCAUUGAUGGAAAUGGUUGAGAGCUCAUUCUUCACGCACUUUAUGGAAAUGACUUUAGGAAACCAAAGAGGAUCAUUUCCUUUAAGGAAUUACAAAGUUCCUACAAAGAUGAUCAUUUAACACCUAAGGGAAUUCAACAAUUCAUGGAUUCCCUUUGUUGAUCUAUGCCUUGGU